GACGAACAAUACAAGUGCUGCGCGGGAUCACUUGGCGUAAAGGGUGCGUAGGUGGCUGUUUGAAUUUGAGACGAAAUGCUAGGAUAAUAAUCUUAGACGGGGCCCUUACGAUUAUACAGCUUUGAGUUAAGGAGAGGUUGGAAGAAAUUCUAGUGUAGGGUUAAAAUUCUUCAAUAUUAGAAUGAAUACCAAGGGCGAAGGCAUCUUUCUGGCUUUAACUGACGCUGAGGCACGAAAGCAUGGGGAGCAAACAGG
rnacentral:rRNA from 1 species